UGCCUUUGUGUUGCCCGUUCAUUCACCUCCAGAGUGAAUGUGGUGUCAAAAAAAGGCAAACGAGCUCUUGAGGAGACCCCAUGGGGAGCUGGUUCUUUACCUUGCUCCUUCUGGGCUUUGCGAGAACAACA
ensembl:snoRNA